rnacentral:rRNA from 1 species
CUUGAGUGCAGGAGAGGAGAGUGGAAUUCCUAGUGUAGCGGUGAAAUGCGUAGAUAUUAGGAGGAACACCAGUUGCGAAGGCGGCGCUCUGGACUGUAACUGACGCUGAGGCACGAAAGCGUGGGGAGCAAACAGGAUUAGAUACCCUGGUAGUCCACGCUGUAAACGAUGAGUACUAGGUGUCGGGGGUUACCCCCUUCGGUGCCGCAGCUA